UACGGAGGGUGCAAGCGUUAUCCGGAUUCACUGGGUUUAAAGGGUGUGUAGGCGGGCUAUUAAGUCAGUGGUGAAAUCUCCGGGCUCAACUCGGAAACUGCCGUGGAUACUAUCAAUCUUGAAUAUCGUGGAGGUAAGCGGAAUAUGUCAUGUAGCGGUGAAAUGCUUAGAGAUGACAUAGAACACCAAUUGCGUAGGCAGCUUACUACACGAUCAUUGACGCUGAGGCACGAAAGCGUGGGGAGCAAACAGG
rnacentral:rRNA from 1 species